UAUGAUGCCUUUUCCCCUCAUGGUUAGCGUGUCAGUUCACUUGCUUUACAUUGCAUAACUCAGCCCUCUUCCUGGUGCAAGUGAUCAAAAAUAAAUAUGGAGAAGUGUGUCACAGAAGAACGAGGAAACAGCUGUGCAAAAAAAAAUAAUCUCUGGCAUUCUGGCAAAUACAGGAGGCAAACUUCUUCAGUUGGCCUACUCGGGCUUCUGUAGUGAACUUCCUGCGCAUUCGCAGUUGCGAGGAUGGAACGUUGGGAGAGUUCCUGGUUGCCAGAGCUGCUCUAUCUAGGUGGUGUGGGGUAUUUAAGCAGGGGGAAUAAAAUCCGUUCCAGUCUGCAAUGUUGUCACAUCUGAUAUCCAGUUCCUUAUGGCUUAGAAAGUGUAUCUGGG